GAUGAACGCUGGCGGCGUGCCUAAUACAUGCAAGUCGAGCGAACAGACGAUGAUCUUGCUCCUCUCACGUUAGCGGCGCACGGGUGAGUAACGCGUGUAUAACCUACCUAUAUGACUGAUAUCACUUCGAGACACCGGCGCUAAUACCGGAUAAUAUAUUGAACCGCGUUGUUCAUUAGUAAAAUUCGGCUUUGCUGUAUCUUCUAGAUGCAUCCGCGCCUCAUUGGCGAGUUGGUAAGGUACCGGCUUACCAAGGGAAGGAUGCGUAGCCGACCUGAGGGGGUGACCGGCCACUCUGGAAGUGAGCCACGGCCCAGACUCUUACGGAAGGCAGCAGUAGGGAAUCUUGCGCAAGGGGCGAAAGCCUGACGGAGCAACGCCGCGGUGGUGAUGAAGGUCUGCGGACCGUAAAACGCUGUUAUUAGGGAAGAACAAAUGUGUAAGUAACGAUGCACGUCUGGACGGUACCGAUUCAGAAAGCCACGGCUAACUACGU
rnacentral:rRNA from 1 species